UAUGAUGAAUUUAAAUGGCUGCAGUAUUUUGACUGUACAAAGGUAGCAUAAUCAUUUGUCUUUUAAUUGAAGGCUAGUAUGAAUGGUUGGACGAAAAAUAUACUUUCUUUAUUUUAUAUAAAUAAAUUAAUUUUUUAGUUAAAAAGCUAAGAUUUUUUUAUAGGACGAGAAGACCCUAUAGAACUUUAUUUUCUACAUAUAUAUAUUUUAUAGAUUUUUAAAAUAUUAUAUAUUAAUAGUUAAUUUAAUUGGGGUGAUUGAAAAAAUUAUAUAACUUUUUCUAUUUCUAUCAUUUAUUUAUGAUGUUUUUGAUCCUUUAAUAUGGAAAAUAAGAUUAAGUUACCUUAGGGAUAACAGCGUUAUUUUUUUGGAGAGUUCUUAUCGAUAAAAAAGUUUGCGACCUC
rnacentral:rRNA from 1 species